rnacentral:rRNA from 1 species
AUUGAACGCUGGCGGCAGGCCUAACACAUGCAAGUCGAACGAGUGGCAGACGGGUGAGUACUGUGUGGGGGACUGCCUGAUGGAGGGGGAGCACUACUGGAAACUGUAGCUAAUACCGCAUACCAUCCGAUGUGCCACUAUGGGAUUAGCGUGUUGGGGGGGUAAAGGCUCACCAAGGGGACGAUCCCUAGCUGGGCUGAGAGGAUGACCAGCCACACUGGAACGGAGACACGGUACAGACGCCUACGGGAGGCACCAGUGGGGAAUAUGGAGCAAUGGGCGCAAGCCUGAGGAAGCCAGGCCGCGUGUAUGAAGAAGGUCUUCUGGUUGUAAAGUACGUUCAGCGGGGAGGCGGUACCCGCAGAAGAAGCACCGGCUAAAUCCGUGCCAGCAGCCGCGGUAAUUC